AGAACCCAACAUAACCUCCUUGCAUCCCAUACCAGCAAUACAAUCCACCAAAACAUAGGACGUAGGGUAUUACACUCUGGAGGUCUGAACCUAUCUAAACCUUGCGUCCCUAUGUUACCAUUCAAGUUCUUGAUCUUGUGAUUGUCCCCUCCUACAAAUCUGUCACCUGGAUAACCCUCUGGUCGACUAUCGGUCGCUAAAUCCGAUAGGUACUCUCUUUUUU
rnacentral:lncRNA from 1 species